AUGUUACUUGACCAUGAUGAACCUACGAACUAUGAGAAAGCGAUGAUGAGCCCAGAUUCCGCAAAAUGGCUAGAGGCCAUGAAAUCUGGGAUGGGAUCCAUGUAUGAGAACAAAGUAUGGACUUUGGUUGACUUGCCCGAUGAUCGGCAAGCUAUUGAGAAUAAAUGGAUUUUUAAGAAGAAGACUGAUGCUGAUGGUAAUGUAACUGUCUAUAAAGCUCGACUUGUUGCAAAAGGUUUUCGACAAAUUCAAGGGGUUGACUACGAUGAGACUUUCUCACCCGUAGCGAUGCUUAAGUCUGUCCGAAUCAUGUUAGCAAUUGCUGCAUUUUAUGAUUAUGAAAUUUGGCAAAUGGAUGUCAAAACUGCAUUCUUGAAUGGAUUUCUGGAAGAAGAGUUGUAUAUGAUGCAGCCAGAAGGUUUUGUUGAUCCAAAAGGUGCUAACAAAGUGUGCAAGCUCCAGCGAUCAAUUUAUGGACUGGUGCAAGCAUCUCGGAGUUGGAAUAAACGCUUUGAUAGUGUGAUCAAAGCAUAUGGUUUUAUACAGACUUUUGGAGAAGCCUGUAUUUACAACAAAGUGAGUGGGAGCUCUGUAGCAUUUCUGAUAUUAUAUGUAGAUGACAUAUUAUUAAUUGGAAAUGAUAUAGAAUUUCUGGAUAGCAUAAAGGGAUACUUGAAUAAAAGUUUUUCUAUGAAAGACCUCGGUGAAGCUACUUAUAUAUUGGGCAUCAAGAUUUAUAGAGAUAGAUCAAGACGCUUAAUUGGACUUUCACAAAGCACAUACCUUGAUAAAGUUUUGAAGAAGUUCAAAAUGGAUCAGGCAAAGAAAGGGUUCUUGCCUGUACUACAAGGUGUGAAGUUGAGUCAAACUCAAUGCCCGACCACAGUAGAAGAUAGAGAGAAAAUGAAAGAUGUUCCCUAUGCUUCAGCCAUAGGCUCUAUCAUGUAUGCAAUGUUGUGUACCAGACCAGACGUAUGCUUAGCAAUAAGC
rnacentral:rRNA from 1 species